rnacentral:rRNA from 1 species
GACAGAGGGGGCAAGCGUUGCUCGGAAUUACUGGGCGUAAAGCGCGUGUAGGCGGUCCGGUAAGUCCGCUGUGAAAGUCGGGGGCUCAACCCUCGGAUGCCGGUGGAUACUGUCGGGCUUGAGUACGGAAGAGGCGAGUGGAAUUCCUGGUGUAGCGGUGAAAUGCGCAGAUAUCAGGAGGAACACCAAUUGCGAAGGCAGCUCGCUGGGACGUUACUGACGCUGAGACGCGAAAGCGUGGGGAGCAAACAGG